rnacentral:tRNA from 1 species
GCGGGAGUAGCUCAGUUGGUAGAGCUCCUGCCUUCCAAGCAGGAGGUCGCGGGUUCGAGUCCCGUCUCCCGCUC